rnacentral:rRNA from 1 species
UACGUAGGGGGCAAGCGUUGUCCGGAUUUAUUGGGCGUAAAGAGCGUGUAGGCGGCCAGGUAGGUCUGUUGUGAAAACUCGAGGCUCAACCUCGAGACGCCGAUGGAAAUCAUCUGGCUAGAGUCCGGAAGAGGAGAGUGGAAUUCCCGGGUGAUAGCGGUGAAAUGCGCAGAUAUCGGGAAGAACACCCGUGGCUAAGGCGGCUCUCUA